CGAACAGACCCCCUUCCCUUCCUCUUGCGGAAUGGAGGAAACCUAAUCCAACAUCGAGGUCGCAAACAUGUUUGUCAAUUUGAGCUUUCAAAACACAUUACGCUGUUAUCCCUAAAGUAACUUAUUUAAUUUUCAAAAAUUUUGGGUAUUAAAAUAAUGUCAUUUAUAUAUUUUAAAAGUGUUUUUCUUCUUACCGCCCCAGUAAAACAUAUUUUUAAUUUAUUAAAUUAUUUUAUGUAAAGCUUUAUAGGGUCUUCUUGUCUAAAAGAGACAUUUUAGCCUUUUUACUAAAAAGUAAAUUUCAAAAGAAAAAGCCAAGAAAGAAACUUUCUAGUCUAUCCUUUCAUUCCAGUCUUAAAUUACAAGACUA
rnacentral:rRNA from 1 species